GAAUGCACCUGCCUCCCAUAAGACAACAUAGACAGCUUAGCAAACAGGUUAACCAUAGUUGUGAGAGUAAACUCAUAUAUUCCAAUCUUGUAAAGGUCCCUUAGCAUUUCAAUAAACAAUUCAAGCGCAUAGGAUUCAUACCCAUCAGGACUUACAUAACCCGAUAACAUUGAAUUAUGAGUGACCAAAUCUCUAACAGAAGCAGAGUCAAAUAUAACCAAAUCUCUAACAGAAGCAGAGUCAAAUAUAACUUUUGCUUGUGACAAGGUGCGGGCUUUUAUAUGCCCAGAGAUUAUUACAUUCCAAGAGAAGACGUUUCUCUCAGGCAUUUCGUCGAACAGACUUUGAGCUUCUCGUGCAAGGCCAUGGUUAGAGUAGAGAUUAAUGAGUUGAUUGGAGGUGAAGAUACGUAGUGUCAACCCCGUCUUUAUGGACUGGACUUGACAUCUGUGACCAUCUUUCAGGGACCUCAUUUACAUCCACAUAUUAGAGAGAAUUUUCCACUAUGAGAUUCUUUCUUAAUUCAAAGAAAUGAAAACAACAGAGACAUUUUUGCCUUGCUAUGGCAUACUGGCAAUCAUUCUAAAGUUUCAAAAAGGGAGGGAAAAUUGUGAGGGAGGCUUUUAAUGAUAGGGAAAACGAUGCGUUUUGCAUCUCUUGCCGUU
rnacentral:misc_RNA from 1 species